rnacentral:rRNA from 1 species
CGCCCGCCGCGCGCGGCGGGCGGGGCGGGGGCACGGGGGGCCUACGGGAGGCAGCAGUGGGGAAUAUUGCACAAUGGGGGAAACCCUGAUGCAGCGACGCCGCGUGAGUGAAGAAGUACUUCGGUACGUAAAGCUCUAUCAGCAGGGACGAAGAUUACGGUACCUGACUAAGAAGCCCUGGCUAACUACGUGCCAGCAGCCGCGGUAAU